rnacentral:rRNA from 1 species
AGGGUUCGAUUCUGGCUCAGGAUGAACGCUAGCGACAGGCUAACACAUGGCAAGUCGAGGGGCAGCACGGGAGUAGCAAUACAACUGGUGGCGACCGGCGCACGGGUGAGUAACGCGUAUGCAACCUACCUAUCAGAGGGGAAUAACCCGGCGAAAGUCGGACUAAUACCGCAUAAAACAGGGGCACCGCAUGGUGAUAUUUGUUAAAGAAAUUCGCUGAUAGAUGGGCAUGCGUUCCAUUAGGUAGUUGGUGAGGUAACGGCUCACCAAGCCGACGAUGGAUAGGGGAACUGAGAGGUUGGUCCCCCACACUGGUACUGAGACACGGACCAGACUCCUACGGGAGGCAGCAGUGAGGAAUAUUGGUCAAUGGGCGAGAGCCUGAACCAGCCAAGUCCGCGUGAAGGAAGAAGGAUCUAUGGUUCGUAAACUUCUUUGCAGGGAAUAAAGUGCGGGACGUGUCCUGUUUUGUAUGUACCCUGAGAAUAAGGAUCGGCUAACUCCGUGCCAGCCGCCGC